rnacentral:rRNA from 1 species
GUGGGGAAUAUUGGGCAAUGGGCGAAAGCCUGACCCAGCAACGCCGCGUGAAGGAAGAAGGUCUUCGGAUCGUAAACUUCUAUCCUUGGUGAAGAUAAUGACGGUAGCCGAGAAGGAAGCCCCGGCUAACUACGUGCCAGCAGCCGCGGUAAUACGUAGGGGGCAAGCGUUGUCCGGAAUGAUUGGGCGUAAAGGGCGCGUAGGCGGCCUGGUAAGUCUGGAGUGAAAGUCCUGCUUUUAAGGUGGGAAUUGCUUUGGAUACUGUCGGGCUUGAGUGCAGGAGAGGUAAGUGGAAUUCGCGGUGUAGCGGUGAAAUGCGUAGAGAUCGGGAGGAACACCAGUGGCGAAGGCGACUUACUGGACUGUAACUGACGCUGAGGCGCGAAAGUGUGGGGAGCAAACAGGAUUAGAUACCCGGGUAGUCC